rnacentral:rRNA from 1 species
AGGUCAUUGCUAUUGGAGUCCGAUUUAGCCAUGCUAGGUGCACGAGUUUGUACUCGUAGCAGAUAGCUCAGUAACACGUGGCCAAACUACCCUAUGGAUCCGGACAACCUCGGGAAACUGAGGCUAAUCCGGGAUACGGCUCUCAGCCUGGAAGUGGCGAGAGUCAGAAACGCUCCGGCGCCAUAGGAUGUGGCUGCGGCCGAUUAGGUAGACGGUGGGGUAACGGCCCACCGUGCCCAUAAUCGGUACGGGUUGUGAGAGCAAGAGCCCGGAGACGGUAUCUGAGACAAGAUACCGGGCCCUACGGGGCGCAGCAGGCGCGAAACCUUUACACUGCACGGGAGUGCGAUAGGGGGACUCCAAGUGCGAGGGCAUAUAGUCCUCGCUUUUUGCGACCGUAAGGAGGUCGCGGAAUAAGUGCUGGGCUAGACCGGUGCCUGCCGCCGCGGUUAUCCCGGCUGCAC